AGGGCUACACACGUGCUACAAUGGUCGGGUACAAAGGGUUGCCAAGCCGCGAGGUGGAGCUAAUCCCAUAAAACCGAUCGUAGUCCGGAUCGCAGUCUGCAACUCGACUGCGUGAAGUCGGAAUCGCUAGUAAUCGUGAAUCAGAAUGUCACGGUGAAUACGGUUCCCGGGCCUU
rnacentral:rRNA from 1 species